GCGCAAUGGUGUCAGUGACAGUGAUGGUGAUGGUCUUGCUCGCGCUAUUGCCGCUUUUGUCAGUGGCCGUGCAGGUGGCUACGGUGGUGCCGACGGGGUAGACGCCAGAGGUGGAGGGGGCCGCGGGGGAGUAGGUGGUGACAACGUUGAGGUUCGUGUCCACGUUGUCAGUGGCGGUGCAUGUGAAGGAGAUGCCGUCGGCGCCGCCAAGCGUGUUGCCCUCCUUGGUGAUGGCGUUGGUGCUGGAACUGACCGUUGGGGCUGUGUUAUCUGUGGGACAUGCAGGGUGGGGGGGAUUACACGAAUGCGUUUGCAUGUGCGUAAUUGGUGAUUACUAUGUAGCAGAAGCAAGCAAGUGUUCUUCCAAGGUCGGAGCCGCAACAUGCGAAGCCAGUAGGAUCCAUGCCCCGCCGUGCCCCGCCCUGCCUCACUCCGUUCCCCGCGCCCCGCCCCACUGCCACCCAACCCGACCCGACCCGAUCCAACCCAACCCAAGCAACCCGCCAAGACCCGACCCGACCUACAGCAACCCUUGCCCACCCUACCCUCCCCUCCCCGACCCACGUCUCACCGAGAACGACCACAGCGAAUGUCGCGGUGCCGGUAUUGGUUCCGUCAGACGCGGUGCAGGUGACAGUGGUGCUGCCAAAUGGGAAAGAGUCACCAGAGGCAUAGUCACACGAGGGCGUCACGGCACCAACCACGAUGUCAGUGGCGGUGACGGCCGACCAGGUGACAGCAGCAGUGCCGCUGGCCGAAGCGUACACGGACGCCGGCGAGGGGACCGUAAUGGCCGGCGCAAUGGUGUCAGUGACAGUAAUGGUGAUGGUCUUGCUCGCGCUAUUGCCGCUUUUGUCAGUGGCCGUGCAGGUGGCUACGGUGGUGCCGACGGGGUAGACGCCAGAGGUGGAGGGGGCCGCGGGGGAGUAGGUGGUGACAACGUUGAGGUUCGUGUCCACGUUGUCAGUGGCGGUGCAUGUGAAGGAGAUGCCGUCGGCGCCGCCAAGCGUGUUGCCCUCCUUGGUGAUGGCGUUGGUGCUGGUGCUGACGUCUGGAGCUGUGUUAUCUGUGGGCGGACAUGCAGGGUGGGGGGGAUUACACGAAUGCGUUUGCAUGUGCGUAAUUGAUGAUUACUAUGUAGCAGAAGCAAGCAAGUGUUCUUCCAAGGUCGGAGCCGCAACAUGCGAAGCCAGUAGGAUCCAUGCCCCGCCGUGCCCCGCCCUGCCUCACUCCGUUCCCCGCGCCCCGCCCCACUGCCACCCAACCCGACCCGACCCGAUCCAACCCGACUCAACCCCACCCAACCCAACCCAAGCAACCCGCCAAGACCCGACCCGACCUACAGCAACCCUUGCCCACCCUACCCUCCCCUCCCCGACCCACGUCUCACCGAGAACGACCACAGCGAAUGUCGCGGUGCCGGUAUUGGUUCCGUCAGACGCGGUGCAGGUGACAGUGGUGCUGCCAAAUGGGAAAGAGUCACCAGAGGCAUAGUCACACGAGGGCGUCACGGCACCAACCACGAUGUCAGUGGCGGUGACGGCCGACCAGGUGACAGCAGCAGUGCCGCUGGCCGAAGCGUACACGGACGCCGGCGAGGGGACCGUAAUGGCCGGCGCAAUGGUGUCAGUGACAGUAAUGGUGAUGGUCUUGCUCGCGCUAUUGCCGCUUUUGUCAGUGGCCGUGCAGGUGGCUACGGUGGUGCCGACGGGGUAGACGCCAGAGGUGGAGGGGGCCGCGGGGGAGUAGGUGGUGACAACGUUGAGGUUCGUGUCCACGUUGUCAGUGGCGGUGCAUGUGAAGGAGAUGCCGUCGGCGCCGCCAAGCGUGUUGCCCUCCUUGGUGAUGGCGUUGGUGCUGGUGCUGACGUCUGGAGCUGUGUUAUCUGUGGGCGGACAUGCAGGGUGGGGGGGAUUACACGAAUGCGUUUGCAUGUGCGUAAUUGAUGAUUACUAUGUAGCAGAAGCAAGCAAGUGUUCUUCCAAGGUCGGAGCCGCAACAUGCGAAGCCAGUAGGAUCCAUGCCCCGCCGUGCCCCGCCCUGCCUCACUCCGUUCCCCGCGCCCCGCCCCACUGCCACCCAACCCGACCCGACCCGAUCCAACCCGACUCAACCCCUCCCAACCCAACCCAAGCAACCCGCCAAGACCCGACCCGACCUACAGCAACCCUUGCCCACCCUACCCUCCCCUCCCCGACCCACGUCUCACCGAGAACGACCACAGCGAAUGUCGCGGUGCCGGUAUUGGUUCCGUCAGACGCGGUGCAGGUGACAGUGGUGCUGCCAAAUGGGAAAGAGUCACCAGAGGCAUAGUCACACGAGGGCGUCACGGCACCAACCACGAUGUCAGUGGCGGUGACGGCCGACCAGGUGACAGCAGCAGUGCCGCUGGCCGAAGCGUACACGGACGCCGGCGAGGGGACCGUAAUGGCCGGCGCAAUGGUGUCAGUGACAGUAAUGGUGAUGGUCUUGCUCGCGCUAUUGCCGCUUUUGUCAGUGGCCGUGCAGGUGGCUACGGUGGUGCCGACGGGGUAGACGCCAGAGGUGGAGGGGGCCGCGGGGGAGUAGGUGGUGACAACGUUGAGGUUCGUGUCCACGUUGUCAGUGGCGGUGCAUGUGAAGGAGAUGCCAUCGGCGCCGCCAAGCGUGUUGCCCUCCUUGGUGAUGGC
rnacentral:lncRNA from 1 species